rnacentral:lncRNA from 1 species
UACUUCGGAGUGUGCAGGAUACUUGUGUCGGUUAAGCUGUGUACGUUGCGUCCAAUCUUUUACUUUCAGCAGUGUCACUUUCUGGGGAGAUCCUCACAACAAGUCAUGGUGAGUCGUGUGAUCAUUCAUCCACUCUCACUUGUGAUCAUUACUUUUCCAACCUGUCAACACAAACUUGACACACACACUUGCAGCAUAAUGUACAUUCAACAGACAAAUUCAAUACAAAAUAAAAAAGUAAAAAUAACACAAAUAAAUUGCAAAU